AUGGGGCUCUGCCUGUCCGUGGCCCUGUGGAAGGACAAGGCCCACGCCCGCCGCCGGGCCGUGCAGCACGACGGCGCCGUUGACGUGAUAGUGCGUGGCGGCGGCGGCGUCUCUGACUACGGGCUUCUGGCAGGGGGCGGAGUGCCGGAGGCGGUGGCGGCGCCGAGGGCUUCGGGCGCGCUGGGCACGCCGGCGCGGCCGAUAUGGCAGAGGAGGGUGCUGAUGGGCGUCAAGUGCCGGCUGCCGAAGUUCAGCGGCAUGAUCCUGUACGACGAGCGCGGCCGGCCCGUGGGCGGCGGCGUCCGGGACAGAGCCCGUGACCAGGAGAAGCACGCCGCUGCCAUUGAUAACAUCCUGAGGGACCUGCACUGGUCUAGCCGGUCGCCGGCGGGCAGCUUGAUUCCGGCGUCGGCCCGGUCCAGUUGA
rnacentral:rRNA from 1 species